rnacentral:rRNA from 1 species
CCUACGGGGGGCAGCAGUGGGGAAUAUUGGACAAUGGGGGCAACCCUGAUCCAGCCAUGCCGCGUGUGUGAAGAAGGCCCUCGGGUUGUAAAGCACUUUCAGUGAGGAAGAACGCCUGGUGGUUAAUACCCAUCAGGAAAGACAUCACUCACAGAAGAAGCACCGGCUAACUCCGUGCCAGCAGCCGCGGUAAUACGGAGGGUGCGAGAGUUAAUCGGAAUUACUGGGCGUAAAGCGCGCGUAGGUGGCUUGAUAAGCCGGUUGUGAAAGCCCCGGGCUCAACCUGGGAACGGCAUCCGGAACUGUCAAGCUAGAGUGCAGGAGAGGAAGGUAGAAUUCCCGGUGUAGCGGUGAAAUGCGUAGAGAUCGGGAGGAAUACCAGUGGCGAAGGCGGCCUUCUGGACUGACACUGACACUGAGGUGCGAAAGCGUGGGUAGCAAACAGGAUUAGAUACCCUAGUAGUC